rnacentral:rRNA from 1 species
AUGGGGCAAUCUAGUGCUGAUGCACUAGGGGAGAGGAAAAUUUGGGAUGUUAUUUGGAAGGCCAAUGUUCCUCGGAAGAUUCAUUUUUUUGCGUGGCGAGUUGCUUCUAAUAGCCUGGCUGUUCAGGUCAAUAGAGUGGUGCAUCACCAAGCCAGUGAUAGUAGGUGCUCUAUUUGUGGAAUGGAGGAGGAGAGUACCUUUCAUGCGCUUGUCUUGUGUACGAAGGCGGUUGUAUUGCGCAUGGCCUUAAGGGACAUCUGGGUAUUACCUGCACCGCAGGAGGUACUGAUAUAUACGGGGAAGGAUUGGUUUCUUGUUCUCCUAAAUCAAGUGAGCCCUACAAUGCGCGACCAGAUUAUAUUCAUUUUCUAG